UACAGGGGGUGCAAACGUUGCUCGGAAUCAUUGGGCGUAAAGCGCACGUAGGCGGUCUGUUAUGUCGGAUGUGAAAGCCCUUGGCUCAACUGAGGAAGUGCAUCCGAAACUGGCAGGCUAGAGUACUAAAGAGGGUCGCGGAAUUCCCGGUGUAGAGGUGAAAUUCGUAGAUAUCGGGAGGAACACCGGUGGCAAAGGCGGCGACCUGGGUAGAUACUGACGCUGAGGUGCGAAAGCGUGGGGAGCAAACAGG
rnacentral:rRNA from 1 species